CCGCUCGUAGCUCAGCUGGAUAGAGUACCGCCCUCCGAAGGCGGUGGUCGCGCGUUCGAAUCGCGCCGAGCGGGCCA
rnacentral:tRNA from 3 species